rnacentral:rRNA from 1 species
AAGCGGAGGAAAAGAAACUAACAAGGAUUCCCCUAGUAACGGCGAGUGAACCGGGAAAAGCUCAAAUUUGAAAUCUGGCGUCCUCAGGGCGUCCGAGUUGUAAUCUAUAGAGGCGUUUUCCGUGCCGGACCGUGUCCAAGUCCCUUGGAACAGGGUAUCAAAGAGGGUGACAAUCCCGUACUUGACACGACUACCGGUGCUCUGUGAUACGUCUUCUACGAGUCGAGUUGUUUGGGAAUGCAGCUCAAAAUGGGUGGUGAGUUCCAUCUAAAGCUAAAUAUUGGCGAGAGACCGAUAGCGAACAAGUACCGUGAGGGAAAGAUGAAAAGCACUUUGGAAAGAGAGUUAAACAGUACGUGAAAUUGUUGAAAGGGAAACGAUUGAAGUCAGUCGUGACCGAGAGGCUCAGCCGGCUCUGCCGGUGUAUUCCCCUCGGUCGGGUCAACAUCAGUUUUGUCCGGUGGAUAAGGGCGGUAGGAAGGUGGCACCCACGGGUGUGUUAUAGCCUGCCGUCACAUACACUGGGUGAGACUGAGGAAUGCAGCUCGCCUUUAUGGCCGGGGUUCGCCCACGUCCGAGCUUAGGAUGUUGACAUAAUGGCUUUAAACGACCCGUCUUGAAACACGGACC